UUGUUUUUUUUAUUUUAUUUUUAUUUGCAGUGCAUUGAGCACUCUCGGCCACCAUACCAUCCUCUUUGCAACAGUCUUACAGCAAGCUUGUAUAAAGCACUAUGACAUUUACUUCAAUCAAGACACAGCAAUCAAACAAACACAAUUUUAGAUUAAUUUACAUUAGUACAAAUAUAGCUAGCUUACUAUCAAUCAUUUUAAGAAAGCAAAUCUGAAUAACGCAUUCCAUAUCCAUGCAAUAAACAUUUCAGAUGCAUUGUCCUUUAGUUCCAUCUUAUUAUAAUUGUUCACCUUAGACUCUCCUACAAUACUUGUUAGUUCAAUGUGGCAUUGUCCAUGAUAUUCGAAAAAUCAGUUACACUCUUGCUCAAUUGAUAAUACUUCUGUAUCAAAUCAACCUUCUGCAAUAUUGGCUUUUAUGAAGCAAAAAGUAAAUAAAUAAAUACAAAUGCUGGAGUGAAUUGUUUGAAAAUAAAGACAUAUGUUGGGCUGGAUGCAUGUUCCACAUGCAGUGAUAUACACUAAAUUCAUUACAUUUCAGUAAAAAAAUAAUAAAUAAUAAAUAAUAAUUAUUACAUUAAUUAUAAUAAUAGCUACAUUUUUAGUAGUAGUAGUAGUAGCAGCUGCAGAAGCAGCAGCAGCAGUAAUAGGAGUAGUAGUUAUUGUUCUUUUACCUAUCAGACAGGAGACUUUAAGUUGAAGUUAUCUUCCCAUACCCUGCCCUUUGUUAUUUUCCUUUGUAUCUUCCCUUUAACACCGAUUGUCUUCAUGCAACUUUGUUAUUGGUUUUUCAAUACAAUACUGUAUGGGCCUGAUAUGGCACAUUUCCAAGUGCCUCCUGCCAAGGAAUAGGGAAAUUUAAUUCUCUUGUCUUGUGGCUUGUAAAUGAUUAAAGAUGUUUUCAGUAAUGCUGGCCAAUAAACCUUGAUGAUCACACAGUUGAUGUCAGGAACGUUUCACCCUUUACCCCUCUUACAACAAAUAACAAUAAAGACCACUUUGAGUUCUGUGUCUAGCACUGUAAUGGUACUGACGCUAACAAAUACUGAUGCAAAAUUCUAUUCUUUUAUAUGAAUCUUAAAAACCACAGCAACCUGCAUCUUCUGGAAUUUAAGUCUAAAUUUAUGGUGCUAUUGAGUGAGCAAAUGCAUAUGUGCAGUCAUUCUAAAACUUCCCUUAAGAAGAUUCCAAUUAGAGGCAGGGUUUAGUUUGAGUUACUCAUCAAAGGUUUCAUUAAGGAUUAAAAUGAACUGACUGUUAAAGCUGUUUCCUAAGAGAUACAUGUUCACCACAUCAUACAAUUAAAAUGAUGCAGAGCAUAUUCAUUCAUACUUGAGAACAGAGACAUGAUGAGUACAGCGCAGGGCUGAUAAUGCAGUAUGAUUCAGUGACUGUUAUUAAACAAUAGUUUACCCCAGAAUUAAAAUUCUGUCACCACUCUGUGACAUUUUGGAUGUCUCCCUCACCUAACACACCUGAUCAGCUCAUUAAUAGAGACUGGAAGACCUUCAUUGGGUGUGUCCAAUAAGGGAGAAAGUUAUCUUUGUUGUUGUUGUAUUGUUUUUUUUGUUUGUUUGUUUGUUUGUUUGUUUGUUUGAAAAACUUAGCAAAAUGUAUAAACUAACCUCAAGGAACAUUCUAUAAAAUUAAGGAUGAUAACUAUAAUAAUAACUAUGACCCGGUUUCACAGACAGGGCUUAGAAUAAGCCAGGAGUAGGCCUUAAUGUGUACUAGUGUGUAGUCGGAGACUACAGAGUCCUGGAGUAAAUUAAGUAAGCUUAAAUGAGAACACCUGGGAUAAGCCUGAUUAUGAGUAUAAGCACAUGCCAUUGGACUGAUGUUGGUCAUAAAAACCUGGAAUGGACUAGAAAACAUUAUUAUUGGUGUACAUCUUGACACAAAACAAUAGCAGAGGCAAAAAGAAUUCAUUUAAAAAAACUUUAAUGAGUAUGAAAAAACGCCACUGAAACAAAUUGUGACAAACUAUCCAGUUAUUGAAAGCAAAAUCCACACUUCUUCAAGUAAGCAAAAGAAAAGGAGUGCUUGGAAUGCAAUUUGCAAUGAAUUCAAUGCAAAUGAAAAUGCAACCACAAGAAAAAUACAACAACUUCAGACUCUGUGGAAGAACCUUAAACUGGCUUUAAAAAGACAGAAUGUAGACAUCAGAAGACAGGGUUUUUUUUUUUUUUUAAACCACUGAUGGUGGACCACCAAAUAAAGACAAAACUCAUGAACUGAGUGACUUGCUGUCUGGAAAAAUACAGCACCAGCAACCUCUGGAUGGUAUACCAGAUGAUGAUCACUUGAACAGUUCAGAUGAAGAACUGAGCACAAAUGAAGAAAAGAAUCUGAACAGGUUUGAAGAGCCAGAGCACAAUGAGUGCGUGCCCUCCACAUCUGCGCUAGGAUCCCUGAGAAAAGAUGCUGCCACCACCUCUUUCAGAAGAGAACAAGCAAGAUGACCCUCCAUGAAAAGUUAGCCAGAGAAUUUCAUGAGAAAAAAACAAAACAAAAUGGAGUACCUGAAGGAAGAACAUGAAAUGAAAAUGAGAAUUCUACAGGUUGAAUUGGAUAUGUUGGAAGAAAGGUGUAUGAUCCAAAAAGAGAUACAGUAAGGAGACAACUGUGAUAACCAGCCAUGGUGAACAAUGUGUAAUAAUAAUAAUAAUAAUAAUAAUAAUAAUAAAACUUUU